rnacentral:rRNA from 1 species
AUUGAACGCCGGCGGCAGGCUUGACACAUGCAAGUCGAGCGGAGAUGAGGUGCUUGCACCUUAUCUUAGCGGCGGACGGGUGAGUAAUGCUUAGGAAUCUGCCUAUUAGUGGGGGACAACAUUCCGAAAGGAAUGCUAAUACCGCAUACGUCCUACGGGAGAAAGCAGGGGAUCUUCGGACCUUGCGCUAAUAGACGAGCCUAAGUCGGAUUAGCUAGUUGGUGGGGUAAAGGCCUACCAAGGCGACGAUCUGUAGCGGGUCUGAGAGGAUGAUCCGCCACACUGGGACUGAGACACGGCCCAGACUCCUGCGGGAGGCAGCAGUGGGGAAUAUUGGACAAUGGGGGGAACCCUGAUCCAGCCAUGCCGCGUGUGUGAAGAAGGCCUUAUGGUUGUAAAGCACUUUAAGCGAGGAGGAGGCUACUGAGACUAAUACUCUUGGAUAGUGGACGUUACUCGCAGAAUAAGCACCGGCUAACUCUGUGCCAGCCGCCGCCGUAA